UUCAAGAUUAGAUCUGCCGGGGCCUUGAGCCCCCUAAAGAGUCGUUCAAGACCAGGACGUUGAUAGGUCAGGUGUGGAAGCGCAGUAAUGCGUUAAGCUAACUGAUACUAAUUGCUCGUGAGGCUUGACCCUAUAACUUUG
rnacentral:rRNA from 1 species